GCGCAUGGGUGAGUAACACGUGACUAACCUACCCUGGAGUGGGGGAUAACUGAGGGAAACCUUAGCUAAUACCGCAUAAUACCUACGGGUCAAAGGAGCAAUUCGCUUCAGGAGGGGGUCGCGGCCGAUUAGUUAGUUGGCGGGGUAAUGGCCCACCAAGACAGUGAUCGGUAUCCGGCCUGAGAGGGCGCACGGACACACUGGAACUGAAACACGGUCCAGACUCCUACGGGAGGCAGCAGUGGGGAAUUUUGCGCAAUGGGGGAAACCCUGACGCAGCAACGCCGCGUGGAGGAUGAAGUACUUCGGUACGUAAACUCCUUUCGAUCGGGACGAUUAUGACGGUACCGGAAGAAGAAGCCCCGGUUAACUUCGUGCCAGCAGCCGCGGGUAAUACGAGGGGGGCAAGCGUUGUUCGGAAUUAUUGGGCGUAAAGGGUGCGUAGGCGGUUUGGUAAGUCUGAUGUGAAAUCUAUGGGCUCAAUCAUAGACUGCAUCGGAAACUGCCGGGGCUUGAGUAUGGGAGAGGUCGAGUGGAAUUUUCCGGUGUAGCGGUCGAACAU
rnacentral:rRNA from 1 species